CCAUCGAUCUCAAUUCUUCUCUUGAAUCUUCUGAUUGUCAUCUUUAGUUCCAUUGAGUUCUUGUUGCAUAUCUUGCUUUAAAUUUUGGGUAACCGGCCUUUUCAUCUCUAUUACCUGAUGGAACUUGCGGUAUUGCAUAGACAAGUGUGAUGACAUAUACGAGGUCUCGAAUUAUGGAGUUUGUGAGGUAAUUGUCGGGGGUGAUGUCGAGAAUUGGAGAGGAUUGUUGGGGUGGUCGAUGAUCUGCGAGUCGGGCCGAUGUGGGUACAAUGUGAUCACUCUCAGAAAUGAAAAUGGUGGACUGUGUGAAUGUGGAAUUGUUAAACCCUGAGCGUCUCAUAUGACUUUGAGCUUGUUGGCUGGUCAAAGUGGAUAGGAGAUCUGCAUCCUAAGAUUCCUCGAAACUGUCUUAAAUUUAUGGCGCUAUAUGCCAGGUUGAUGCUACUAUCAUAGCACCUAUGUGGGAGCUUUUGGGUGAUCAACCAAACAGAUGGACCAAAUGGAAAGCAAGAUUGAAUGUCCUAAGGGACCAUAGGAGGUUUCGGGAAGGCUGACUUUUGCGGACGAAUACGCAAGGGUGCCGCACGACUUAGACAAAACCAGCUAAGUUCGUGACAACUAGGAUUAAGAAGGUUCAACGGGUUGGUUAUUGGUUUAACUGCGAAACACUUGAGAGUCUAGAAGGUGUAACUUAACUUGGUCAGAUACCAGAUUCAGAUAAUUUUACUUCUUUUUGACUCUGAAUUAAUGCAAUCUAAGACUGGGAUAUAGGUUUCCGUUGGAAGCAAUGGAAUGAAGAAGAGAAUGCUGAAAGUACUCCAUAUAUCUGACUUUUUAUCUGCGGUCAGAGAAAGGGACCUAGAAAGUCACUUGUCCAAGGGGAAGGUUGGUUUAAGCUUUUUUACUUUAUAAUUUUCUGUAAAGUGGUCUUCACAGCUCAAUUUGUUAGGUUGCUCGUUGUCAUCUAGUUGUUGAACUUCGUACAUGUGCCUCUUGUAGUUCUGCAUGUGACCAUGAAUACCGAUGAAGAUAUAGACUGUUUUAUCAAAUUAUUUCAAUCACUCGAUUGUGAAAGGCCACAAAUGACAGUGAAAAAGGUAUGACUGCUUCACAGUCAUAACUGUUAACAGUGAAAAAGAUGAGUUCAUCAAUGUCUCAACUCAACUUGGACAUUUACUUAAUAAUGACCAGCCUCAAUUUUUCGAGGCAUCAGAUCAGUUUAACAUAGCAAAAAUUAAACUAAAUAACAGUAUCACCUUCAACUUUUACAACUAACCAACGAACACUGCCAGUUCAUAGUCCAUUGGACUUAAUAAUACCUCGGUUGUGGUAAUCGGUGAAGGCUACUUGCCAUGCCUUAAUAUUUGUGUUCUCUAAGUCUAAUAUUCUUCGGUAGAUGUUUUUUUGUCCCUUUGGUUAUUAGGCUGUGAUUCUUGCUGUUCUUCUCUGUUUUGUGGUCCUCAGCAACCUAUUCUCCACCAUUCUCCUUCUUCAUGUAUGGUGAGUUGCUCGAUUUGGGAAAAGGCAAAUCUAAAGAGACACUAUUUCCUGUUUCUUUUCAGUCGGUGAGAUGACAUUCACAAACAUUUAUAUGUAGAAAGUACCUCGGUGUAUAAGUACUUGAUAGUUAGUUUUUUUUUUUUCUAAAUUUGAUUUAACUGUUCUCUACUGGUUAUGGCCAUCUGCUCCUGAUCCUAUGCAGCAUUAAUCCUAGUCAUGACUUUAGAAGGUUUUGCGGUCUGUGAUGAUUAUGCGGUUGCUAUCGUUGAUCUUCGAGAAGUUGUUAUUGUGGUGAUGGCUGUGAAUACCUUCGAGGUCACCUUAUGAAAUUAGGUAAAGAAGAGAACAGUCUAGAUCACCUUGUUCUCCAGAUAGAAGCCGAGAGAAAGAGCAGACAAUAGGCCUCGGUCUGAUGGCUAUGAUAGGCAGCUUCUUGAUAUCAUUAUCGAUGGGAUGAUGCCAGUCUCCGUAAUCACAGAAUGAAACUGUUGUUGGAAUUUGAAAUUUAGAAAGGACAGCUACUUGCGGCCAUCUAUCGCUUGUCUGUUGGAACGCCGAGCAAUGGAGAGGAUGCCCGAGGACGACGCUUUGGCCAUUGUGGUCGGGUGCCUGCCAUGUGGUGCAGACCUUUCCGGUUCCUCCUGUGCCCCAUGCUGCGCGUCGUGGUAUGGUAUCUUCGUACCUCGACGUACCCUUCAUCCCAUACCCCGCUGCACCAAGCACUGGUUCUGAGGUGGGAGGAGAUAGAUAGCCCACAGGAAAUUAGAGCCAGUGAGAACCGUGUUGGUUGUAAGUUAGGCAGUAUGGUGGUACAUGAUAACUCAGUACUGUUGCACUGUGCAAUCUGAAAGUUUUCUUUUUCGCAGAGCGUUCUUGGACAUUGAGGCUGGGGUGGCAUACGCUAGAUGCCACUGUGACUGGCCCUUGUACCUGCAGGACCUCGUGAAGGUUUGGCACAAGCAAAAUGGAGUUCGUACCCAUCACUUCAGGAUUGCAAGACCACAGCAAGGAUGAGAAGAGGUACCGUCCUAUUACAGUUCUGUGAAAUUUUUUUCUCAUGCCAAAUGCUUUAAAGCAUCUCAACCAAUGCUUAAGAUCAGCUUAAAGCCAUGGUCAUAUACUGAUGGACUGGAUUCGUCAGUAAAUGAGAGAGAAAAAGAGUCCUGUGGCAAGGUAUGGAAUUCAUUGAUUCCCGGACAGGAGGAGUCACAGGUGUCUGUUUGAGUUGUGUCCAGGAAUGAGGACUGUGGCCGUAAUCUGAUCAGGACCGAAGGUGUCUUUUAAAAACAUUCUAAGAUCUUCCUUGAGUUACUAUUUGCAAUUCAGGCCUAGAAUUGAAAGAAUCGAGUUGCAUAUAUUGAACUUGGUCCCUAACUUACAAACUUAAACUACUAAA